AGCGAACGCUGGCGGCAGGCUUAACACAUGCAAGUCGAACGCAUCCUUCGGGGUGAGUGGCAGACGGGUGAGUAACACGUGGGAACGUACCCUUCGAUCUGGGAUAACUUCGGGAAACUGGAGCUAAUACCGGAUACGCCCUUUUGGGGGAAGGUUUACUGUCGAAGGAUCGGCCCGCGUCUGAUUAGCUAGUUGGUGGGGUAACGGCCUACCAAGGCGACGAUCAGUAGCUGGUCUGAGAGGAUGAUCAGCCACACUGGGACUGAGACACGGCCCAGACUCCUACGGGAGGCAGCAGUGGGGAAUAUUGGACAAUGGGCGCAAGCCUGAUCCAGCCAUGCCGCGUGAGUGAUGAAGGCCUUAGGGUUGUAAAGCUCUUUUGUCCGGGACGAUAAUGACGGUACCGGAAGAAUAAGCCCCGGCUAACUUCGUG
rnacentral:rRNA from 1 species